AAACCUACGGGAGGCAGCAGUGGGGAAUCUUGCGCAAUGCGCGAAAGCGUGACGCAGCAACGCCGCGUGAGGGAAGAAGGCCUUCGGGUUGUAAACCUCUUUCAGGAGGGACGAAGGUUCAGGCGCGAACAGCGUCCUGGACUGACGGUACCUCCAGAAGAAGCUCCGGCUAACUACGUGCCAGCAGCCGCGGUAAUACGUAGGGAGCGAGCGUUGUCCGGAAUCAUUGGGCGUAAAGAGCGCGUAGGCGGGCCGGUAAGUCCGUUCUGAAAGUCAAAGGCUCAACCUUUGAAAGCGGAUGGAUACUGCCGGGCUAGAGUCCGGAAGAGGCGAGUGGAAUUCCUGGUGUAGCGGUGGAAUGCGCAGAUAUCAGGAGGAACACCAACGGCGAAGGCAGCUCGCUGGGACGGUACUGACGCUGAGGCGCGAAAGCGUGGGGAGCAAACAGGAUUAGAUACCCUGGUAGUCA
rnacentral:rRNA from 1 species